GCUGACACAUCCCGGCCAAUCUCCAGCAGACCCUCCCUCCCAGACCCUCCCACCUCCUGGACAGCAUCCAUGUGUUGAAGCUGCCUUCAACAUGGAUGCUGUCCAGGAAGUAGGAGGGUCUGGGAGGGAGGGUCUGCUGGAGAUUGGCCGGGAUGUGUCAG
rnacentral:miRNA from 1 species